AGCGUGGAAACACUGAUUUCCGUAUGUUCACUGAAGUUAAGCAACGUUGAGCCUGGUCAGUACCUAGAUGGGUAACCCUUAGGGAAUACCAGGUUG